UACUGCUUUUUAAAAUCACUUUCUUCCAAACUGAACUAAACCUCAUACAUGGCCCUCAGACUUAAACUGGAACUAUACCCUCGACUCUGCUGAAUCUCUGGACUGCCGACUGCAGAUCAACUUUCUACACUCAUGGAUCCAGACCUCCUGGGCCUUGGUUUACCUCAUCCAUACAGUGGAGAGAAUAUACCAACCUCCCUCAGAGUCAUUGGAAGGAAUGGGAACUUUUGGAAUUCCCCUCAUAGGUGUUCUGACUACACUCAUAAUGGAAAUCCACCUCGAC